rnacentral:rRNA from 1 species
UACGUAGGGUGCAAGCGUUAAUCGGAAUUACUGGGCGUAAAGCGUGCGCAGGCGGUUAUGUAAGACAGUUGUGAAAUCCCCGGGCUUAACCUGGGAACUGCAUUUGUGACUGCACAGCUGGAGUGCGGCAGAGGGGGAUGGAAUUCCGCGUGUAGCAGUGAAAUGCGUAGAUAUGCGGAGGAACACCGAUGGCGAAGGCAAUCCCCUGGGCCUGCACUGACGCUCAUGCACGAAAGCGUGGGGAGCAAACAGG